AACUAAGGGGAGCCAGCUGCCUGUAGGAGGCAGGGCCUGGCCCUUAUAAAGCCCAGGGCUGAGGCCAGGCUGGCAGUUCUCUGCCAGCAGCCGGAGAGGCAGGAGCUCCCUCGGCCGAGAGUACAAGAGCAAUUCAUUUCCUGAAUGAGCUCCCACUUUUGUGACCUCUACCAUCUUACGUGACACUGGGAACAGAACAGAGGACCUUUGAAGCUAAAACCAUGAGUUUCCACAGCCAUCAGCUAAAGAGCUAGCCUCUGUAUCUGACAGCUGUAGCAGACUUGCAUCCUCUGUGUAUUCGUACAGAGUGGGACACGUAAAUCGCAAUGAUGAAUGGAUUACCUGGCACUCCUAUUGAUAUCAGAGCUUGGUAGCUCAAGUGAAAUUGCAGAUUUACAAAAAAUGAAAAAUGAAAAUGUUGAGCUGCCAGGUCUGAGGGAAGAAGAAGCAGGGUCCUCGCUUUCAAGAUCACUGUCACUAGCUAUGCAAUUCAUCAUAAAUAUCUGUUGAAGACGGUCAAGCUUCUUAUCAAGCUUUGUGGACAAAAUGUCAAAAGAAGAUCACGAAAAAGCAGAUGAGACAUUAGCUCGAGCUAUAUUUGCAAGUGGUAUACCUCUUUCCAUAACUGAAAAUCAAUACUGGAAGGAACAUUACAAACUAAUUUGCCCAUCAUAUAAGUCACCAUUACGUUAUCAUUUAUCAUAUUCUGUUUUAGAUAAAGAGUAUGGCAGAGUUCAAACAAUGGUUAUUCAAAGGAUUGGUUAAGCAGAAUCAUUGACUCUGAUGUCAGGUGGAUGGACUAAUAUACAAGGAAAUUCUUCAUUGAAGAUAUUGAAAGUGCAGGUCCCUCUGGGGUACAAGCCUUCGUAACUGAUAAUGUGAGUAACAUGAAAGCUGCAUAGCAAAUAUUAAAGGCAAAGUAUCCACAUUUAAUUUUUGGCUGUCUUGCUCAUGGGUUGAAUCUUCUGGCAAAGGACAUAGUAGGUGUGACUACAAUGAAGACAAUAUUGGCAAACUGCAAAGCAAUUCUGAAGGUAUUCAACAAUCAUCAUGUUGCUAAUCAAACUUAGAAGAUAUUACAGAAAGAGAAGCGCAGGAAGGAAAGUGCACUUUUAUUGCCAGGAGAAACUAGAUGGGCCUCGGAUACAUAGUGUUUACAUAGUUUGCUGUGCACAAAACUGUUUGCAGUGUGCUUCAACAGAUGACACAGUAUCCCAGGUUAUUCCUGUGGACAUUUGGAAGCAGAUUCUCGACAACAAUGUGUCCUGGUUUUGAGUUCAAGGAGCCUUCAGUUUGCUACUAAAAGUUUCAAUGGCUAUCAAGAAACUUGAAAGAGAGAACAUUUUCAUUCAGUUGUCUAUCUCUGGAAUAUUUGGAAGGCUUGAUGUACUUGAGCUUUUGCCUUCUUCACCUCUAGCCUCUGGAACACCACUGGUCACCACACACCAUGUUGACUCGGUUCCAUCAACCGUCACUUUCAGGGUCUAAUCGCAGAGCCAGUUUCCCAGCCAUCAGACCGUAAGGUUGUUGAGGCUGCAGUUCCCCAAUUUUACCAUGAGGACAUCAUGGGAGACCAAGUCAAAGGCUUUUUUGAAAUCUAAAUAUAUGACAUCAACCUCUUGUCUUUUGUCCAGGUAAUACGUCACCUGGUCAUAGAAGGAAAUUAGGUUGGUCAGGCAAAACCUACUCGCAAUGAAGCUCUCUCUCAAAAUGUUGCCUCCAAUAACCAUUUUUUGAUGGUUUCUUUGAUUAUUUUUUCCAUGACCUUUUCAGAGAUUGAGGUCAAAUGGACUGGCCUGUAGUUCCCUGGAUCUUCCUUCCUUGAAUCAUGCCAUAUAGACAUUCAUACUCUUCAUUUUGCUUUUCCAACAGCAGAACUUUUUUUUUAUGCUGGACAAGAUCUGUUUGUGAAUCUGACACUUGUGAACUAGAAUAUGUUCAGUGCUUAAAAAAAAAUCUCCAUUCCCAUUAGUUUAGAAUAUUCACGCCAGUACUAAAUGGUAGUACGAGGGGCCCAUGUUCUGACAGGCUGUAAUAUUCGUUGUCAAAUCUAAAUGGAGAAUGAUAAGCUGAUGUUUACCUUUAUGCAAGAGAUUCCCUUUGAAUACCUUCUCCAAAGUUAGAUAAUAAAAAGAAACAUUUCUUACAAUCAGUGUCAGCAGUAAUAUAUUUCGAGAGCUUUUUCUUCAGCUUAAUUCCCAUUCAGCCUUUGGUUGAUAAAGUCAUUACUUUAAUAAAUAAUUUGCUCAGAGGCUACAUGGUUAAAAAACUGAAAAGUAUUUGGCGUUUUGAAAGUGUUCUAAAAAUUACAUUUCAAUGAAGGUUAAGUCAGUAAAUAAGCUAUGAGAAGGGGACAUAUGGAUUGAAGUAUUUACUAUCCAACACUUAAUAUUUCUUCUUAAAUCCCCAUUACUAAAGAUUACUUAAUGUUACAAUCCACAGUGCCUUUGGGUUCCUAGAGAUGUGUAGCGAGGCUGCUUUGCUGUGCUGUGAAUCUAGUGUGUUGGAGCAGACUCGAUUAAUCAAGUCUCCUGGAGAAAUUGAUACUGCUGCAGAAUUGAUGCGCUCCAGCAGCCUCCAGGGCCAUGUGUAUCAGCAUCCCCACACUGAAAAAUGGCAGUGGGGCACUUAAAACUAAAGCUUAUUUGAUUAAUAAAUAUAUUUUAAAUAUA